rnacentral:rRNA from 1 species
GACGAACGCUGGCGGCGUGCCUAAUACAUGCAAGUCGAGCGAAGUUUUUCUGGUGCUUGCACUAGAAAAACUUAGCGGCGCACGGGUGAGUAACACGUAAAGAACCUGCCUCAUAGACUGGGACAACUAUUGGAAACGAUAGCUAAUACCGGAUAACAGCAUUAACUGCAUGGUUGAUGUUUAAAAGUUGGUUUUGCUAACACUAUGAGAUGGCUUUGCGGUGCAUUAGCUAGUUGGUGGGGUAAAGGCCUACCAAGGCGACGAUGCAUAGCCGACCUGAGAGGGUGAUCGGCCACACUGGGACUGAGACACGGCCCAGACUCCUACGGGAGGCAGCAGUAGGGAAUCUUCCACAAUGGGCGAAAGCCUGACGUAGCAACGCCGCGUGAGUGAAGAAGGAUUUCGGUUCGUAAAGCUCUGUUGUUAGGGAAGAAUGAUUGUAUAGUAACAAUACACAGUAGAGACGGUACCUAACCAGAAAGCCACGGCUAACUACGUG